rnacentral:rRNA from 1 species
CGAACGGGUGAGUAACGCGUGAGUAACCUGCCCUGGAGUGGGGGACAACAGUUGGAAACGACUGCUAAUACCGCAUAAGCCCACGGAUCCGCAUGGAUCUGCGGGAAAAGGAUUUAUUCGCUUCAGGAUGGACUCGCGUCCAAUUAGCUAGUCGGUGAGGUAACGGCCCACCAAGGCGACGAUUGGUAGCCGGACUGAGAGGUUGAACGGCCACAUUGGGACUGAGACACGGCCCAGACUCCUACGGGAGGCAGCCAUG